rnacentral:rRNA from 1 species
AUUGAACGCUGGCGGCAGGCUUAACACAUGCAAGUCGAGCGAGCGGCGGACGGGUGAGUAAUGUCUGGGAAACUGCCUGAUGGAGGGGGAUAACUACUGGAAACGGUAGCUAAUACCGCAUACCAUCAGAAGUGCCCAUGUGGGAUUAGCUAGUAGGUGGGGUAAUGGCUCACCUAGGCGACGAUCCCUAGCUGGUCUGAGAGGAUGACCAGACAAAAUGGAACAGAGACACAGUCCAGACUCCUACGGGAGGCAGAAGUGGGGAAUAUUGCACAAUGGGCGCAAGCCUGAUGCAGCCAUGCCGCGUGGGGGAAGAAGGCCUUCGGGUUGUAAAGCACUUUCAGCGAGGAGGCGUUACUCGCAGAAGAAGCACCGGCUAACUCCGUGCCAGCAGCCGCGGUAAUUC